UACGUAGGGUCCAAGCGUUAUCCGGAAUUACUGGGCGUAAAGAGUUGCGUAGGUGGCAUAGUAAGCGGGUAGUGAAAUGACGGGGCUCAACCUCGUGUCCAUUACCUGAACUGCUAAGCUAGAGGACAAGAGAGGUUAUUGGAAUUCCCUGUGUAGGAGUGAAAUCCGUAGAUAUAGGGAGGAACACCGAUGGCGUAGGCAGAUAACUGGCUUGUUCCUGACACUAAGGCACGAAAGCGUGGGGAGCGAACGGG
rnacentral:rRNA from 1 species